CACAGUCAACUGAGUCUUCUGCGCCUGCACAGGAGCCCUUCGGAAGAAUCUUUAGCUCCGUUUAGGCACCCUGGCCCUUUAAAGCAUAGUGAUAUUGGAGCCUUCAAGGCAGUCUAUAGAACCAGCUGUAGAGCACCUCCCUCUUCAGUUCCUGAUAGUCAGCUGCAAGAGAGACUGAUAACAUCCAGAGAUAGAAGAAGACAGCAAUCACAGCAGCACAGGAUCUUGUCUAAAGGUUCAGCCUCCACGCUGUCAACGAGAGGGUCCAAAGGGCAUGGUGCAAGAUUAGUCUCCUGUCCCUCGUGAGAAGGUCCCGUUGAAGUGGAAGGCAAAGGUUCGGCCAAAAGACAGACAGCAGCCAGAGUUGCAGUCUCAGCAUCCAUUCUCCACAGUCAUGGUGCAUGAGCCCAAAAGGCCCAGCAGACGUUGGAUGGACUGAGCCCAUUGUUGGGGAGCUGCCUCGAAAGCAACCACCAUGGAAGAGAUGGCCUGAAUGUGUUCUUCGGGGGGAAAACAGUAGCAGAUCCUUCACAAGGCAACGCGAGCAGCACACAAGAAGGAACUGAAGAGGGAGGCGCUCCACAGCCAGUUCUAUAGGCUCCCUUGAAGGCUCCAAUAUCACUAUGCCUUAAAAGGCCGGGGUGCCUAAACGGAGCUUAAGAUUCUUCUGAGGGACUCCUGUGCAGGCGCAGAAGACCCAGUUGUGAGGGACCAUGGAUACCUGCAGAGAUCAAAUAGUUUUGUUAUAAACCCAAUGGCAUAUAUUGCAAUAUAUAUGUUGAACUGUUUUAACUUUUAUAUGUGUUUUAACUGUUGUUAGCCGCCCAGAGACGCAAGUUUGGGCGGGGUAUAAAUCUAAUAAAUAAAUAAAUAAAUAAAUAAAAUUAACCCAAGUUAAGCAAGCAAGCAAUAAAACACUCAGGCUUUUGAAAGGUUUAAUACAAGUACAUUAUUCUAAGGGCUAGAAGUAACACAGAAAAUACUAACACACUUACUUCCACUGAGAGCUCUACUCAGCUGCUCCAUCUUUUCUUUGGCUGUUUUAAGAAGGCGCUGUUCUAACUAAAAGCACGGGGGCGGGGGGGGGAAUAAAGAAAAGGCAAUAAACAACCUGAUUUUUUUUUACUAAUAAAGCUAAAAACAAAUUUAUAAAAUUUCCAGUCAUACUUGAUAGCUGAGUUCAUGAUUCUUAAACCUUGUGU